rnacentral:lncRNA from 1 species
CCCCCCUCCCCCCAAAUUCCAUGCUUCUCACAUGACUAGCACAUGCUAGGUCCACCCUCUCCUGAAGGACUCAACGGCUGCUCCUCACAUGACUAGCACAUGCUAGGUCCACCCUCUCCUGAAUCGAAUCACAGAACAGAGCAAGGACAUGCACUGAACAGACUGAGGGAAGAUCCUGGAGAGAAACAACAAAGGCUGGGCUUCAGAAACUGUCCCUGACAUCGUUACCCCAGAAGCUGGCUGUGCGAUUUCACAGUUUGAAAGGCUAGCUCUCAUUUAGUCAGUAAGUCCUAUUUUGGGGAUUUCUUCUGGAAUAAAAGUUUAAAAUGAAAAGGGCAAAGUGACUGGGAGACGGGAUGUCAGAAGGGGGACACCUGCUGUAUGCUUACCUACGGCCCCUAGGAGAGGAAGCACCAGGGGAGGGGAGGCGCUCUUCGGAGGUCUUAGUCUUCUUGCCCCGUGGGAAAGCACGAGGUGGCGAUACAUCCCAGCAUGGCCUCGCUACCAGCGAACCCCCUACUCUCCCUGACUGGCCCCUCUCUCUCUGCACUGACCCACAGUGAUACCAGGGACACAGCGGACAGCACAGGCCCCGGAGCAGCGCUGCUUAGGCCGUCCAGGUUCUGGGAGGCAGUGCUCAGCUGACCUCAUUCAUGACUCGGUUUGGUGGCGCUCUCCCACCCCUACCUAAUGGUCAUCCAGAAGGGGUUCUGUGAAUAGAUGGUCAGUGAAUGAGGGGUUCAGGUUGCAGUAAUCGAGGGUCAGGACACCCCAUGUGCCCUGCAUCAUCACCUACAACCAACAGUCGUAAUAUGCUCUGAUGUUAGGAAGUGGGGCCAGUUCUAGAUCCCGUCCUUUCCCGAGGCGCGACUCAUGAUACUCCAGAACCUAGGCGGGGACCAAGUUUACACUGCUAGACGCCGUUUGAGGCCUCAGGGCAAACCUCGUUUUACGCACGCG